AACGAACGCUGGCGGCAUGCCUAACACAUGCAAGUCGAACGAGACCUUCGGGUCUAGUGGCGCACGGGUGCGUAACGCGUGGGAACCUGCCCUUAGGUUCGGAAUAACUCCCCGAAAGGGGUGCUAAUACCGGAUAAUGUCUUCGGACCAAAGAUUUAUCGCCUUUGGAUGGGCCCGCGUUGGAUUAGCUAGUUGGUAGGGUAAAAGCCUACCAAGGCGACGAUCCAUAGCUGGUCUGAGAGGAUGAUCAGCCACACUGGGACUGAGACACGGCCCAGACUCCUACGGGAGGCAGCAGUGGGGAAUAUUGGACAAUGGGCGAAAGCCUGAUCCAGCAAUGCCGCGUGAGUGAUGAAGGGCUUAGGGUUGUAAAGCUCUUUUACACGGGAUGAUAAUGACAGUACCGGGAGAAUAAGCUCCGGCUAACUCCGUG
rnacentral:rRNA from 1 species